UGAUUGCCAGAGGGGAAGGAGGUACCCCGUCAGCUCCUGAGGAGGGAUGGCCUGUGUGCCUGGAUCUGGAGCCACGCCAAGCCAGGGUGCACCCUGGUGCCCAGAUGGAGGACCCCACAGAAGUGGAGAACCUGGUGUUUAUGGAGUAACUUCACUGCAGGCAAUGGAAUUUUUAUACCAAUUUAAAACCCAUGUGAGAGGAAGAUCAAGCACAAAGGGACUACAUACAAUAUAUGGAGCAUUAUUGGAUGCAAGGAAACCUGAACUAAGGAAAUGAAGGCUCACACAUUCCAGGCUCUUGCUGCUAUUCUUGACGUAUCUGUAUCGCAUGCAGUGAGACUUAAGACACUAUAUAUAUUACAUAAUAAAAGCACAGAGUGCUAGUCUGGUUUCCUCAGCACCAUCUUGUAGGUUGAUAUUACCAUUUCAGGAGGGGUUAAUGUUUUGGAAAAUUUAAAAAUAUAUAAAUGAUACUAAAACAAAAUAUUUACACAACAAAUUAACAGUCAAAAUAUAUACUUGGUAGACAAUACUUUUCAGGCCUAAGCAUAAAUAAGAACAGUCACCUAAGAAUCAUCUACAAAAUAUUCAUAUGAAUAUGCAAAUAGAGUAAUUAAAGAUACAAUUGUGCACAUAAUUGGUAAUUGUGAGAAUAUAAUCAAGCAUUUGUUUGAAUGUGCAUUCAUAUAUUUUGUGGGUGCAAUUUAGGUGCCCAUUUCUUUCAAAUUUGAUCCUUAGGAUAUUAAAAUAUGCCUGGAAAAAAUCUGAUUACAAAUUUUCUAAAAGUCUGGAAAUGCUGUAGUUUGUCUUGUAAAUAUUAUAUAAAAGAAAUCUAAGCAUAUGGCACCUUUUUAUAUACAACAGACUAUACUAAUGUUAAAUAUUCUAUUUGGAUUAGAACUAUUGUAGACCUAUCAGUUUGGCUUAUUUGGCCUCAAUCCCAGAAGGAUUUACAUACAUCCUUAACUUUAAGGAGGCAAAUAGUCCCAUUGACUUCAUGGGACAAUUAUCUAAUAUAUUGUGCUAUUAGAAUUGCGCUGACUUUUCAACAACUUACAGAUACUUACAUGUGUAAAUCUUGGGCCCUAAUAUAGUACUUCAAUAUGUGGAGAUGGAGCAUCUCCCUACCCAUAUGGGACUGAUUAUUUGAUUACCUGACCUACAUUCUGAACAGCUGCUUCUUCCUCCUUCUGCUCAGAAGAAGCAGAUUGAAAUAGAGGCUACAAAUGGUUGGGGUUGAUGUCAUGCCAUUUGCAUUGUGAGGUCACUAUGUCCAAUAUACAUACCAUGCACAUUCCUUCAGAGUGCAGUGUCUGGAUUAAUUUUUAACUAAUGUCCUGGACGUACCACCUUAUAGCCAAUUAGUUCAGUUUAUCAUCCAUUUAUCAUUCUAUUAUGUGAUGUUGUAGUCAAUUCAUAUGCUAUUCCAUAUAUAAUUGACAUAUGCUAAAUAAAUUUAACUUACUAGGUCAUAGGCUUAGGAAUGCUCAACAUGAGUGGGUGACCUAGGAAUAACCCUGACAGCAAUGUCACAAGACUACUGCAUAACAUGUGCCAAUAGGUAGUGUUACCAAAAACUAGCUUGCAAUAAACUGCAAGGUAUUGUCCAAGAUCAUGAGACACCUGAUUGUAACAUCAUGGAAAGUUCUGUCCUGACUGCGGGAUAUAUGUUGUGUGUAGAUGCUAAUGAGAAUAAGGGGAACUAAAACAACCUAUGAAAAAUGGGACACCCCAAAUUUGUGGGGUGUGGAAGUACAGAAAAGCAAAAGAGGUUUGAAACCUCUAUGCAUAUGAAUAGGUGUUAGAUGUAGUCAGAACAACAAUAUAAAAGAGUUGCCCUAGUUGGGUAAAAGUGGGAAGACUCAAGAAAAAACCCCAGUGGAAGACCCCAGGGGAAACCACAGCAGGAACCCUCCCUCUAUUGGUGAUAGUCUAUUGAGAGGUCCAUCGGACCCUACAGUAUCUUUGAGGAUGUGAAUAUGACUAUAGUCUUAGUCAUUGCAUGUGUUUUUGUAGGAUUUAUAUACACGUUUUGCUUAAUAAAACUUCUAGUUAAGAUAAGACUUUGUACAGU